CUGGAUGGUGACAGCUCAGAACAGCUGAAUCACUGCAGAAUGUCUCAGACGUUGGUGCCCAAGGACUCACCCAUCUGUGCCAUUAGGAGGAGUGAUCUGGCAUGAACAGAACUGAGGACUUGCAACUGUGUUCUUGUGAAACAUAAGAGUCACCUUUCAACUUCUGUUUCUGAUCACAGAGGAAAUGAAACACAUGAACAAUACGAGAUGCCACAUGUAAUUUUUCUGGGUAAGUCUCACUAAGCCAACACAGCCUUUCAGCAUUUCUGAAAAAAAAAAAAAAAGUGUGCAUUUAACUGCUAGGUUUGAAAAUACUCAUAGUUGCCUUAGUGAACAUGUAUACAUCCAAUUAACAUGAAAAAUUAGCACACCAAAACCAAGAAUUUACCCCAAAUCAUAGGAUAGACUGGCUUUUUUUUUUUUUCUUUAGGAUCGAGGAGGAGAGGAGAGGGGAGGGGAGGGGAGGGGAGGAGAGGACUGAUCAACCUCCAGAGAUGUCAUCCUUCAGGAUCCACUACCACCUCUCUACCUUUGGUUUCAUACACCUUGAUCAUCUUCAACCUCAAGAUGAAAUAGUCUGCUUCUAUUCUCAAUCAAAGAACAGUUUCGAUGCAGAAAUGUAUGUAAAAAGGGAUACAGCCUCAAAAGCUGAAGGACAAAUAGGAGAGUUAGAAGACAUUUCCUGUGAAACUUUCUUGGCCACCUCUGCCAUCUUAAAAGGAAAUGAUGGAAAUAAGGUUUGGGAAGGACUGCCUCUGAUUUCUUCUUUGAGAGGAACUUCUUAUAUCCACUGGGCUAUCAAAACACCUGCAUGGUUCUGGCCAUGAUAACAACAGAACCAUGGCAGAACUGUAGCCUUCUGGGCUGGAAGUUGGAGGGGUAUCAGCGUACUGCAGCCUCUCAAAUGCCACUACACAGACAACUGAACCAUGCUCUUUGUCACAGAUUUCCCUAUGACAUCUAGUCAAAUUAUUUUUACCUGGCUUUUGUACCGGAGUGAUUUUAAAUAAUAUACGACAAAUAUCAGCAGCUAUUGUGAGAAGAGAUCAACCACCAUUCAGAUGCUUGGGCAUGGAGAUGUGAGAAGAGAUCAACCACCAUUCAGAUGCUUGGGCAUGGAGAUGAGUCAUUCAGAAUCACAGAAUCACAGGGGUUGGAAGAGACAUCAAGAGAUCAUCAAGUCCAAACCCCCUGCUAAACCAAAUACCCUACAACAGGUUGCACAGGUAGGCAUCCAGACAGGUCUUGAAUUUCUCCAUGGAAGGAGACUUCACAACCUCCCUGGGCAACCUAUUCCAGUGCUCCGUCACCUUUACCAUAAAGAAG
rnacentral:lncRNA from 1 species